UACGUAGGGGGCUAGCGUUGUCCGGAAUCAUUGGGCGUAAAGCGCGCGUAGGCUGCCCGGUAAGUCCGUUGUAAAAGUCAAAGGCUCAACCUUUGAAAGCCGAUGGAUACUGCCGGGCUAGAGUCCGGAAGAGGCGAGUGGAAUUCCUGGUGUAGCGGUGGAAUGCGCAGAUAUCAGGAGGAACACCGAUAGCGAAGGCAGCUCGCUGGGACGGUACUGACGCUGAGGCGCGAAAGCGUGGGGAGCGAACGGG
rnacentral:rRNA from 1 species